rnacentral:rRNA from 1 species
AUGGCGGAGUCGACGGCGAGCAUCGGCGGGUACAUGGCGUCGGGGUACCGGAGGGUGGCCGGCGUGCAGCUCUCCAUCAACCAUCUCAAGCUCACCCGCCUCGGCGACCGCAUCGAGGCCAAGGCGAACCCCAUCCGGUACCUCGACCCCGACGCGUCCUUGGACAAGGCGGUGGGGCUCGCCUGCGGCCUGCUCUGGGGCGCCGUCCUCCUCGUCGGCGCCUUCUGGAUCGCCCUGUCAGUCCUUCCCUCCCUCCAUCCUCAAAGCCCCAACCUUCUUCUUUCCCUUCAGACAUAG